UCGGACAUGGGGUAUGGUACACGGCCUCCCAACAUAUCGUUGGCACACACUUAAGAUUGUUGGAGGCAGACCGGGGUUCGACUCCCCGUGUCCGAA